ACACAAUCUUUAGAUUCAUUGACCAUUGAAUUAAAAGGCUGGAACACGACGCACCACAUGGACGUUCGUCGCACGUCAUGAAGCUAGACAGUUGCAGCAAUGCAACGAAGCGGACAUACUCCAGCUGUGCAGACAGGAAACAGCAGAGUAACUUGCUUGAACUCCACAGGAAUAUACAAGUGCCUAGAGAUAAGUAAACGCAUGCAGAUAAACAUGAAAAUGAAAACAGCAAGAAUAGGAACUAAUUUGUAUGCAAAAGAGUGAAUAAACAUAAUGAGAGGUAACAUAGUGACCUCUAAAGGGAGUGUGGGAUGUCACAGUGAAACUAUUUGUUACUUAUGCAUCAGUAUCUUAGAAUAUAAUUUGUCGUCUGUGCAUGUGUGCAUGAAAUCAGUGUUGGACAUGCAGAUUUUCUUGAGAUACGAUUGUGUUGAUGAUGAAAGAAGAGUGGAGAGAAUUGAAAUGGUGGGUCAGAGAGUGUGAACAAACAAGACGGUGACCAUUAAUGACUAGGCAUCAAACAGACAAACAAACAGACAGACAAUGAUCAGAAGCUACCAACUAUUUAAACAAAUUAGCCAGACCAUCAAAAGACAUUGAAAGCUAUACAAAUGAAGCUAACUUUAGAGAUUUUUGGAGGAUAAUAUUACAGCGAUGUAAUGCUAAAGUCAUCCUCCACAAGCUGACUCGUGUCUUCCCUGGAGAGGUAGAUGAGAACAUAUACGAUAGAGACUAUCAAAGUAGUUGGUAUUAAACUAAAGCUGAACUCAGUAGCUUGUUUGCAUUUAGUGUUAGAAAUGUAACGUAGAGUUUGUGUUUAAAUGAAGACAGACAGACAGACAGACAAACAGACAGACAGACAGACAUGAUGGCGUCGGCCGUUUGGGCCAGACUAGAAUGUAGUAUUGUUCUUUGAAAAUAUAUGUAUUGACAGACAGACAGACAGACAGGCAGACAGACGGACAAACAGACAACCAGACAGACAGACAGACAAACAGAUAGACAAACAGACAGACAAACAGACAGACAGGCACACAGAUGGACAGACAGACAGACAGAGAAACAGGCACACAGAUGGACAGACAGACAGACAGAGAAACAGACAGAGAAACAGAUAGACAGACAGACAGACAAACAGACAAACAAACAGAUGAAUAAACAAACAAAUAAAUGAACAACCAGACAAACAAACAAACAGACCAACAGACAGACAGACAAACAAACAGACAUACAGAGACAAACAGGCAGACAAACAAACAAGCACACAGACAACCGAAGUAGCAUGCAAGCAAGCAGUCACACUUGGUUCAAUUACCAAGAUCCGUUUACAAAGCCAUUCAAUACAAAAUCACAAACCACAACUCAUCAAAAAGAAAAACAGAAUAAAUAAUCAACAGCAAGCAAAUAGGCGAGUAACACACACACUAACCACUCACUACCCAAUCCAAUAAGCAAGCAAGCACACAGUCCCACUCGGACUGAUGUGCCACAAACUGGCACCACAAAAAUACAAAAAGUGAAAAACAGUGACAC